CCUACGGGUGGCUGCAGUGAGGAAUAUUGGUCAAUGGGCGGGAGCCUGAACCAGCCAAGUCGCGUGAAGGAAGAAGGAUCUAUGGUUCGUAAACUUCUUUUGCAGGGGAAUAAAGUGCAGGACGUGUCCUGUUUUGUAUGUACCCUGAGAAUAAGGAUCGGCUAACUCCGUGCCAGCAGCCGCGGUAAUACGGAGGAUCCGAGCGUUAUCCGGAUUUAUUGGGUUUAAAGGGUGCGUAGGUGGUUUGAUAAGUCAGCGGUGAAAGUUUGCAGCUU
rnacentral:rRNA from 1 species